rnacentral:rRNA from 1 species
AUUGAACGCUGGCGGCAGGCCUAACACAUGCAAGUCGAGCGGAUGAAGGGAGCUUGCUCCUGGAUUCAGCGGCGGACGGGUGAGUAAUGCCUAGGAAUCUGCCUGGUAGUGGGGGAUAACGUCCGGAAACGGGCGCUAAUACCGCAUACGUCCUGAGGGAGAAAGUGGGGGAUCUUCGGACCUCAUGCUAUCAGAUGAGCCUAGGUCGGAUUAGCUAGUUGGUGGGGUAAAGGCCUACCAAGGCGACGAUCCGUAACUGGUCUGAGAGGAUGAUCAGUCACACUGGAACUGAGACACGGUCCAGACUCCUACGGGAGGCAGCAGUAGGGAAUAUUCGACAAUGGGCGAAAGCCUGAUCCAGCCAUGCCGCGUGUGUGAAGAAGGUCUUCGGAUUGUAAAGCACUUUAAGUUGGGAGGAAGGGCAGUAAGUUAAUACCUUGCUGUUUUGACGUUACCAACAGAAUAAGCACCGGCUAACUUCGUG